GACGAACGCUGGCGGCGUGCUUAACACAUGCAAGUCGAACGGACAGAUAGAGAGCUUGCUCUCUUGAAGUUAGUGGCGAACGGGUGAGUAACGCGUAAUCAACCUGCCCUUCAGAGGGGGAUAACAACGGGAAACCGUUGCUAAUACCGCGUACGAUUCACGAGCGGCAUCGCUUGUGAAUGAAAGGUGGCCUCUAUAUAUAAGCUAUCGCUGAAGGAGGGGAUUGCGUCUGAUUAGCUAGUUGGAGGGGUAACGGCCCACCAAGGCAAUGAUCAGUAGCCGGUCUGAGAGGAUGAACGGCCACAUUGGGACUGAGACACGGCCCAAACUCCUACGGGAGGCAGCAGUGGGGAAUCUUCCGCAAUGGACGAAAGUCUGACGGAGCAACGCCGCGUGAGUGAUGAAGGUCUUCGGAUUGUAAAGCUCUGUUAAUCGGGACGAAAGAGUUCUGUGUAAAUAAUGCAGAAAAGUGACGGUACC
rnacentral:rRNA from 1 species